rnacentral:rRNA from 1 species
GACGAAGGGGGCUAGCGUUGUUCGGAAUUACUGGGCGUAAGGCGCGUGUAGGCGGUUGUUCAAGUCAGGUGUGAAAGCCUUGAGCUCAACUCAAGAAAUGCACUUGAUACUGGAUGACUAGAGGACCGGAGAGGAUAGUGGAAUUCCCAGUGUAGUGGUGAAAUGCGUAGAGAUCCGGAGGAACACCAGUGGCGAAGGCGACACGCUGGGCCGUACCUGACGCUAAAACGCGACAGCAUGGGGAGCGAACGGG